rnacentral:rRNA from 1 species
UACGGAGGGGGCUAGCGUUGUUCGGAAUUACUGGGCGUAAAGCGCACGUAGGCGGCUUUGUAAGUUAGAGGUGAAAGCCCGGAGCUUAACUCCGGAACUGCCUUUAAGACUGCAUCGCUUGAAUCAUGGAGAGGUAAGCGGAAUUCCGAGUGUAGAGGUGAAAUUCGUAGAUAUUCGGAAGAACACCAGUGGCGAAGGCGACUUACUGGACAUGUAUUGACGCUGAGGUGCGAAAGCGUGGGGAGCAAACAGG